rnacentral:rRNA from 1 species
AUUGAACGCUGGCGGAAUGCUUUACACAUGCAAGUCGAACGGCAGCACGGGGGCAACCCUGGUGGCGAGUGGCGAACGGGUGAGUAAUACAUCGGAACGUGCCCAGUCGUGGGGGAUAACGUAGCGAAAGUUACGCUAAUACCGCAUACGAUCUACGGAUGAAAGCGGGGGACCGUAAGGCCUCGCGCGAUUGGAGCGGCCGAUGUCAGAUUAGGUAGUUGGUGAGGUAAAGGCUCACCAAGCCAACGAUCUGUAGCUGGUCUGAGAGGACGACCAGCCACACUGGAACUGAGACACGGUCCAGACUCCUACGGGAGGCAGCAGUGGGGAAUUUUGGACAAUGGGCGAAAGCCUGAUCCAGCCAUUCCGCGUGCAGGAUGAAGGCCCUCGGGUUGUAAACUGCUUUUGUACAGAACGAAAAGGUUUCUACUAAUACUAGGAGCUCAUGACGGUACUGUAAGAAUAAGCACCGGCUAACUACGUGCCAGCCGCCGCGGUAA